ensembl:lncRNA
GGGGAAACAAAAAAAUGAGGGACCAUAAUUAAAUUUAAUUCUACAAAUCUUUAUUAAGCUUUUAUUAUGUGCAAGACACUGUGCUAAAGGCAAACAAUCCCUGUUCUCAAGAAAAUUAUAUUCAACUGGGGGACACAUUUACAUAGAUAAAUAAUUUGAGGAGGAAGGAAACACUAUCACCUGGGGGAAGGGUGGUAUUCAGGGUUUACUAGAGAAAGUGGGGCCUCAGUUAAAUUGGAUGGAAUUCUUUCAGGUUAAGGUGAAGAGAGAUAGAGUGGAGAGGGGAGCAUACAUUCUAAGGACAAAAAAGUGAAAAAAGUAUGGAGGUAGAAGAAAAUGUUUAAUUCUGGAUACUCAUUACAGUAUAUGAUGGGGGGAAAUGCCAAAUGAGCCAGAAAAAGAAGGAGGAGCCCGAUUGUGGGGGUGUGGGUGUUGCCUGAAGAAUUCUUAUUUUAUUUUUGGGGCAAUGAGGAACCACGGACAUUUUUAACAAGGAAUUUUAAACAAAAUUUAACAAUUUUUUUUUUAACAUAGUCUCAUAUAUGCUUUAUUUAGGAAGAUCAUUUUGGCAGUUAUAUGGAGGAUAGAUUAGGGAGGGGGAAAGUUAGAAAUUGGGAAAUCAAUUAUAAUAGACUAAGUAAUAAAGGCCUGAAAUGGGGUGGAUCUUCUAAGGAAAGAGAACUGGAUAGACAUAGCUACUUUUGGACAUGGGGAUCAUGGAAGUAGGAAAAGUCAAGGAUGACUCUGAGGUGGCAAACCUGGGUAAUUGGAAGGACUGGGGUGCCCUCAACAGAAAUCAGGAAAUUUGGGUUUGAUGGUGGUAUACUGAAUUUGUGUUGGGGUAUCUCACAGAUGCUAGCAAAGCUGGACUUGAGUUCUAAACUAGGAGAUAGUUUUGGAUGAGACAUAUGGACUUGAGAGAUAAUUGGACCUGGAAGUAGAUAAGCUUAUCAAGGAGAAAAGUUUAAAGGGACAAAGGAUGACAUGGGCAGAAUAUUUUUCUUGGAUCUUUGCAAGUAUUUCUCCUAUUUUAUAGCCAGAACCACAAGGCCCAUAGAUAUUAAAUGAAUUGUCCAAGAUUAUACGGAUAAUAUAUAUAUAUAUAUAUAUAUAUAUAUAUAUAUAUAUAUAUAUAUCUCAGAGAUAGGCUUUGAAUACUGAGUCUGACACUACCCACUACACUGCCCAAGGCAAUUUGGAAGAUAAAAGGCUGGGUGGAGUCAAGAUGUCAUAGGUAGCCUAGAGCAUCAGUGGAGGCUCAAAGUACUUGAAGAAGCAGGGGUGUGUGUAUGGGAGGGGGGGAGGAUGGAAGUUAGAAGAGUUAAGGGUAGCCCAGGACAAUAGGGACAUACAGGGUAUAGAAGGCACAAUGUCAGGGGGAAGUAAUAGAGUUUUGUAGGAAGCACAGGCAGGCAGUUAAGAAAGAAAGUCCUAAAAAGGCUUAGAAGGUGGUUAGCUAGAAGGUCUGCCAUGGGAAGCAGGAGACAGUUGAUGAAGCAGUUAAUAUUAUAGGAGGCACAAGUUGUAGGGUAGCAGCACGUGUUAGGAAAGACAAUGUGUUCUCAGAGGUACAAAGCAUUUGUAAAGACAUCAGAGAAUGACAUGAUAAUGACCUAGUGCCAGUGCAGACUAUCAGCAAAGUCACAAACAAGACUUUAUUUAAACACAAAAAGCUAGAGGUAAAAAGAGGAGCUAUAGGGUACCCAAGGCAUAUACAAAAACAGAAUUCAGAACAAAGGGCAAAUGCAUAAAUAAACCUUGUGGCUCAAAUCUGGGGCCAAAAGGGCCCGGGGCUAGGCCAUCAAGGUCCAAUCCUUUGCUUUAGGCAGACUUAGGGCACCAUAGCAUGGUCUCAAAUAGCUGACAGGCUGAGCCAAUGAGGAGGAAAGAGCUUUUCUAAAAAUGGCCAAGCGGGGCCCAGCAGCUGGGGCUCAGGCUAUCACAUGCAGGUCUAGAAUUAGCAUCAACCUCCUCUCUCCAGCAGACCCAUAGUCUGAACAGAAGUGAAGGCAAUAUUGGGGAUACAUGCACCUGCCUCUAUAGGUAGCCUUAAUCCCAAAAGAGAAAUUGGAGAUGUUAAUAAAAUUCUCAAUUCCCCUUUUGCCAUUUUCAACAUAGGCGACCUUGCAAACCUAACUUCCCUUUCCUGUUUUCUCAAAUGUAAAACGAGGGGAGUGCAAAAUGGGAGUAAAAAGGGACCAGAUGGUCCUGUCCAGUUCUAUGUAAGGAUCCAGAUAGCACACAGCACUCACAGGGAGCAGUGAAUACUAGAAAGAGCCCUGAUUUUAAAUGUCAGGGACCUAGGUUCCCAGAUGCUAUUUUUGUAACUGUGUGACUUUAGGCAAAUUACUUUUCCCUCUCUGGGUCUCUGAUUAGUCAUCUGUAGACUAGAAGUAAUUCCCAUUUCCUCUCUUAGAAGAUUGUAGAAGAAAGUACUUGAUGAGCUACAAAGCACCACAGAAAAGGGAACCCCAAUCCUUCACCCCCAUUUGCCAUUGUAGCAUUUGGGUAUCCCUUCCAAUUAUCUUCUAAGAUAAUUUUGACUUAAAUUUACUAUGUGGCCUAGAAGAUCCUGUCUCUGGGCCUAAGUUUUUUCAUUCCCUUAUUUCUAAGGU